rnacentral:rRNA from 1 species
AACGAACGCUGGCGGCAGGCCUAACACAUGCAAGUCGAACGCCCCGCAAGGGGAGUGGCAGACGGGUGAGUAACGCGUGGGAACCUUCCCAGUGGUACGGAAUAACUGACCGAAAGGUUGGCUAAUACCGUAUACGCCCGAAAGGGGAAAGAUUUAUCGCCAUUGGAUGGGCCCGCGUCGGAUUAGCUAGUUGGUGAGGUAAUGGCUCACCAAGGCGACGAUCCGUAGCUGGUCUGAGAGGAUGAUCAGCCACACUGGGACUGAGACACGGCCCAGACGACUACGGGAGGCAGCAGUGGGGAAUAUUGGACAAUGGGCGCAAGCCUGAUCCAGCCAUGCCGCGUGAGUGGUGAAGGUCUUCGGAUUGUAAAACUCUUUCGCCGGGGAAGAUAAUGACGGUACCCGGAGAAGAAGCUCCGGCUAACUUCGUGCCAGCCGCCGCCGUAA